CUUAAAGGAAUUGACGGGGCCCGCACAAGCGGAGGAACAUGUGGUUUAAUUCGAUGAUACGCGAGGAACCUUACCUGGGCUUAAAUGUAGAUUGCAUGAGGUGGAAACACUUCUUCCCUUCGGGGCUAUUUACAAGGUGCUGCAUGGUUGUCGUCAGCUCGUGCCGUGAGGUGUCGGGUUAAGUCCCAUAACGAGCGCAACCCUUACCGUUAGUUGCCAUCGGGUCAAGCCGGGGACUCUAGCGGGACUGCCACCGUAAGGUGAGAGGAAGGUGGGGAUGACGUCAAAUCAGCACGGCCCUUAUGUCCAGGGCUACACACGUGUUACAAUGGCCGGUACAGAGGGCAGCUACCUGGUGACAGGAUGCUAAUCCCGAAAGCCGGUCCCAGUUCGGAUUGGAGUCUGCAACCCGACUCCAUGAAGUUGGAUUCGCUAGUAAUCGCGCAUCAGCCAUGGCGCGGUGAAUACGUUCCCGGGCCUU
rnacentral:rRNA from 1 species